rnacentral:rRNA from 1 species
UACAGAGGGUGCGAGCGUUAAUCGGAAUUACUGGGCGUAAAGCGCGCGUAGGCGGCUUUGCAAGUCGGGUGUGAAAUCCCCAGGCUUAACCUGGGAACUGCAUUCGAGACUGCAUUGCUAGAGUAUGGGAGAGGGAAGUGGAAUUUCCGGUGUAGCGGUGAAAUGCGUAGAUAUCGGAAGGAACAUCAGUGGCGAAGGCGGGUCUCUGGACAGUUCCUGACGCUGAGGCGCGAAGGCCAGGGGAGCAAACGGG